AAAAAUAUGAUUAUCGAUUUAUCGAAAUCUAAUUUGUAAAUGGCUUAAAACAUUUAGUUUGUUGAAAAAAAAAGGACAAAACAAUGGACCAAUGGACAGCUAAUACGAGUCGGUGAACCGAAUACACAAAAUUCUCUAAAUCCAAUUAAGCAAGAUUUCAAAAAAAAAAAAAUUCUAAUAAAAACCCUACAUGUACAGUCUCUCUCAUUUAAAGUUUCUUUCUCCUCUUCUCUAACGGCCAAGUCUCCCUCUUCCCCCUCUUCUCCCCCUUCUCUCUUGCUCUCUUGUCUUCUUUGGCCUAUCUCUCAAUUUCCGUUUCUGUAAGGAAGAAACCCUAUCAUACCCAUU
rnacentral:lncRNA from 1 species